AUACGGAGGAUGCGAGCGUUAUCCGGAUUUAUUGGGUUUAAAGGGAGCGUAGGUGGGAUAUUAAGUCAGCUGUGAAAGUUUGGGGCUCAACCUUAAAAUUGCAGUUGAUACUGGUUUCCUUGAGUACGGUACAGGUGGGCGGAAUUCGUGGUGUAGCGGUGCAAUGCUUAGAUAUCACGAAGAACUCCGAUCGCGAAGGCAGCUCACCGGGCCGGAACUGACACUGAUGCUCGAAAGUGCGGGUAUCAAACAGGAUUAGAUACCCUGGUAGUCCGCACAGUAAACGAUGAAUACUCGCUGUUUGCGAUACACGGUAAGCGGCCAAGCGAAAGCGUUAAGUAUUCCACCUGGGGAGUACGCCGGCAACGGUGAAACUCAAAGGAAUUGACGGGG
rnacentral:rRNA from 1 species